GACGAACGCUGGCGGCGUGCUUAACACAUGCAAGUCGAACGGAAUGGCCCUGCUUUUGUGGGGUGCUCGAGUGGCGAACGGGUGAGUAACACGUGAGUAACCUGCCCUUGACUUUGGGAUAACUUCAGGAAACUGGGGCUAAUACCGGAUAGGAGCUCCUGCUGCAUGGUGGGGGUUGGAAAGUUUCGGCGGUUGGGGAUGGACUCGCGGCUUAUCAGCUUGUUGGUGGGGUAGUGGCUUACCAAGGCUUUGACGGGUGGCCGGCCUGAGAGGGUGACCGGCCACAUUGGGACUGAGAUACGGCCCAGACUCCUACGGGAGGCAGCAGUGGGGAAUAUUGCACAAUGGGCGGAAGCCUGAUGCAGCAACGCCGCGUGCGGGAUGACGGCCUUCGGGUUGUAAACCGCUUUCGCCUGUGACGAAGCGUGAGUGACGGUAAUGGGUAAAGAAGCACCGGCUAACUACGUG
rnacentral:rRNA from 1 species